rnacentral:rRNA from 1 species
CUGCUGCCUCCCGUAGGAGUUUGGGCCGUGUCUCAGUCCCAAUGUGGCCGUCCACCCUCUCAGACCGGCUACUGAUCGUCGCCUUGGUGGGCCGUUACCCCGCCAACAAGCUAAUCAGACGCGGGUCCAUCUUACACCACCGGAGUUUUUCACACAAAUCCAUGCGGCUUCGUGCGCUUAUGCGGUAUUAGCACCUAUUUCUAAGUGUUAUCCCCCAGUGUAAGGCAGGUUACCCACGCGUUACUCACCCGUCCGCCACUAAGUA